UUACUGUCAGAGGCAUAAACUUUUCUUCUAUUCUUUCUUUUAAUUUUAAUUUUAGAUCUUUUAUAACCAGCGCAACCUCGGUCAUGCAAACUUCUUGAGACUCUAUCAAAGCAAUUUUACCAUGAAAAAUUGAAGCCUCUGAGUGAAUGAAAAGAAGCAAGAAUUUUCGCAAAUUUCUUUCAAUUUUUCAACGCGGAUGGUGUAGAGGUAAAAAUAGGAAUAAAUUUUGACAAUAACAACUUCAAUAUCUACUGUAAGGCAUUCAACUCCAGUUUGAAUACAAUUAUUCAAGACGUGAGCAGCGCAAUUCACUCCAAUUAGAACGUUUCCAGUAGAAUUUUGAAGUUUACUAAAAACGUUAUUUUUACCUUUUCUCGCUGCCCCACCAAAAUUGCAGUUUGUGUUGUCAGCACAUAUUGCCAGUAAUUUUUCUUUUAUUGAAAAAUAUUCCAAAGUUUCUUCAACGUAUUUGGAAAUAAUAUCGGACGUUUCUCCUGGAAGGUCCUUAACCUCCAAAAUGUUUACAACAAUGCCUUGUUGAGGUGUAAAAUAUCGAACUAAUAGUGGACACAACUUUAAACCACCAUGAUUAGAACAAUCGGAAUAUACUGCCACGGAGCUUACUGAGCGCAGAGCCGUUUUAAUUUCCACUACGGAAUUGGGUGCAAGAACAUUGCACACAAUUGCUUCACAUUUUGUCCGUGCGCAGGAAUACUUUUCAUCGAAGCAGCUUUUCAUUAGUUUGGUAGUGCAAUCAUUGGACCUGAAGGAGUGGUUGUGUUGGAUUGUGUGGUAUGCCCAGGUGCCUUCAUUGACCGCGUUCUUCUUUGCAGCUCCUUCAAAGUUCGUUGUGCUGAGAAAGCUGUGCAAUGUUUUACUUGUAGAAGCAGCAACAUCGGAAUCUUUGUGUUUUUGAGUCUUGAUGUGCUGUUGAAUGUCAUACCUUCCACCACUACCUAUGGAAAAUGUUUAAAUACAUUUUGAACACCAAACUACGUGCGGUUUCUCAGAUCUUUUGAUAAAGGAGUAUUCUUUUUGGAGAUCAUCGUUGAACUCGCACUUUCUUUUUGGUGGCAUGUCACAGAUAUCUUUAUAACAAAAUAAAAAUAAUUCUAAUUCGUGGCAUUUACUAAUAAAUUAAA